rnacentral:rRNA from 1 species
AUUGAACGCUGGCGGAAUGCUUUACACAUGCAAGUCGAACGGCAGCACGGACUUCGGUCUGGUGGCGAGUGGCGAACGGGUGAGUAAUACAUCGGAACGUGCCCAAUCGUGGGGGAUAACGUAGCGAAAGCUACGCUAAUACCGCAUACGAUCUAAGGAUGAAAGCGGGGGAUCGCAAGACCUCGCGCGAAUGGAGCGGCCGAUGGCAGAUUAGGUAGUUGGUAGGGUAAAGGCCUACCAAGCCGACGAUCUGUAGCUGGUCUGAGAGGAUGAUCAGCCACACUGGGAAUGAGACACGGCCCAGACUCCUACGGGAGGCGGCAGUGGGGAAUUUUGGACAAUGGACGCAAGUCUGAUCCAGCCAUUCCGCGUGCAGGAUGAAGGCCCUCGGGUUGUAAACUGCUUUUGUACAGAACGAAAAGGCUCUGGUUAAUACCUGGGGCUCAUGACGGUACUGUAAGAAUAAGCACCGGCUAACUACGUGCCAGCCGCCGCAGUAA